AUUGAUCCAUAUAAUAUAAAAUGUCAUUUUUCUUAAUGUAUGCAUAUAAAUUAUUUUUUUAUUUUUAUUCCUAUUUUUAUUUACUUGGUAUUAUGAUUAUGCAUAAAGCAAGAAAAAUAAUAUCACUUAAACGUUCAUUCAUGCGCAUUUCAUGCGCAUGCGAUAUAUAAUUUUAUUUGUAUACAUAUAUUAUAUUAUUCCUUAAAGAUAAAAUAUAUUAUUCUCAAAAUUUCUUAAAUUACUGGUUUGACAAUCAAAACAUUUGUAAUUAUUUGCUGAAUUGAUAUUAUGAACUCAUGAUUUUAAUCAACUAUAUAAAGAAUACAUACUAAUAUUUAUUGAUGCACAAAGCCUUAUAAUGUCUUAAAUAUUUUGAAUAUUGGAUUACAAAUAUAUAUUAAUUAAUAUUAAACAUUUCUUUCAUCAUUUGAAAAAUGGCAAAUUAUGCUUCUAGAAUUUGUUUUCAAAUUUCAUGUUAAAAAUUUUUAAAAAUAUGUUAUGAUGGAAAGAUAAUUUUAUAUUAAUAUCAUAAACAAGGCUAAAUUUUUUCUUUUCAUUUACAUUCUUUAAUUCUUGUAAAGUAUAUCUUUA